rfam:Megasphaera sp. TPII 135-E contig00004, whole genome shotgun sequence.
AAGAUAGCAUCACAUAAGUGAGUUAUACUUUAAAAAAGAUAUGCUAUGAUACGGCAAUGAAUUUUAUAUAGAUAUGUUUUACUGCUUGGAUCAUAAGGACUGAGACAGGAAG